ACAGGCUGCUGGCCGGAGGCCUCUCUCCUUGGUCAUGUGAGCAUCUCCACAGAUUAACUAACUGCUUGAAGGACUUCGUGACCUGCCAGCUGGCUUCCCCCAGAGCAAGUGACCUUAGGGAGCACAGUGGACUCCAGUGUCUUUCAUAACCUUGUGUUGUGCUAUGGUUUGGACGUGUUUGUCCCUCGACAGUUCCUGUGCAGGAAGCUGCUGCCCACUACUGAGAUGGAGAAGAGCUGUUAUAUCACCUGAACCCUGUCUAACUGAGGAAUUAUGAGACGUUUUCCACAGUGGCUGCACCAUUUCACAUUUCCACUAGAGGACUGCAGCUUCCCCACAUCAUGGCCAACAACUGUCAUUUUCUGUCUUUCCGGUUGCAGCCACCCUACUACCACCCGCUACGUGGCAUCUCAUUGUUUCGCCUAAUGACUUACAAUGGACAAAAUUAACUAGGAGACCAACCAAAUAAGAAACAACUUUGAACACAGCUGGUGAACUGUCAGUCUUAUGGCAUAAGACAACAACAACAAGAACAACAAAACCAACACUGAAGUUUUAUUAAUGAAAAAAAUACUCCUGUAAUUAAUUAACAAAAUGCACACAGUAAUAACUGUACAAUUCCU